AAAGACAAAGCCAGUGGAAUGGUCCGAGUGUGGCAUCCGCUGCAUUUAUAAAGAAUAAGAGCUGCAGUGGGUGUGAUUCUUGGACAGAGUGGCGCUCAUCCUUGUUCCUGCAAUGAAGGACAUGCCAGCCUCCAGGCUCUUUGACAGAUGAUUGGAACUGUGCAAAUAUUAUGGAAGAUAUCCCGUGUCAAGAAGCUGACAGCACACACGUUUGGGAAGGAUUUAGCGGCUGAAGCACUUCUAGAAGAAUGCCAGAGCAAGAGUGUGAAACAGAGCACAGAGCCGUGAUGCUGCCCCCUGCCGGUGGUGCAGGAGAAAGGACUCAACCUCAGUCUACGACUCCUGCCAAGAGUUAUCAGCCACACUAGAAACUAAAGGGUGAAAACAGGGUUUCUCUGCUGCAAUUCCAUCUCUUCCUCUAGAAACUUGUCGUAGGAAUGACUCCCUGUAACUUCCCACACCUGCCUCUUCUUUCCUUAAGUGGUGGCUAACAGAAUCCUUUCCUUCCUCGGUCCUUGCUAAGUGACUGAAUUCAGAAACUCCUGGACAAUAUUACAACCAUCUGU
rnacentral:antisense_RNA from 1 species